GAUGAACGCUGACAGAAUGCUUAACACAUGCAAGUCUACUUGAACUUCGGUUUGGGUGGCGGACGGGUGAGUAACGCGUAAAGAACUUGCCUCACAGUUAGGGACAACAUUUGGAAACGAAUGCUAAUACCUGAUAUUAUGAUUUUAGGGCAUCCUAAGAUUAUGAAAGCUAUAUGCGCUGUGAGAGAGCUUUGCGUCCCAUUAGCUAGUUGGAGAGGUAACGGCUCACCAAGGCGAUGAUGGGUAGCCGGCCUGAGAGGGUGAACGGCCACAAGGGGACUGAGACACGGCCCUUACUCCUACGGGAGGCAGCAGUGGGGAAUAUUGGACAAUGGACCAAAAGUCUGAUCCAGCAAUUCUGUGUGCACGAUGACGUUUUUCGGAAUGUAAAGUGCUUUCAGUUGGGAAGAAAAAAA
rnacentral:rRNA from 1 species